AAUCAACGCUGGCGGCGUGCCUAACACAUGCAAGUCGAACGAGAAAGUGGAGCAAUCCAUGAGUAAAGUGGCGACCGGGUGAGUAACACGUGACUAACCUACCCUGAAGUGGGGAAUAACCUCGGGAAACCGGGGCGUAUACCGCAUAAUAUCGCGAGCUGUAAACGACUUGUGAUCAAAGGAAGCAAUUCGCUUUAGGUAGGGGGUCGGCGGC
rnacentral:rRNA from 1 species